AUGGAGUUAUCCAUUUCCAUGGGAGGCUCUGCCGCGGCAACCAGCCUCGUGNNNNNNNAGAUGGUGAAUCACAAAUGCACCAGGGGGCUUGGACCUCAACUUCAGUUUUCGCAUGAUGUACCAUCUUCUGCUUGUCUGAUGAUAUUUAACAAAGAAUGUUCAAAACGAAUCAACCACAAAGUUUGCAGAGCGCUUCAGGCAGUAUCUCCACUACAAUGUGCAGAAAAUCCCAUGCAAGCACCAGUAGCCUUUAAAGAUUUUCACGUUUCUGUGCUUACUGAAGAAGAUGGAGUGAUAGAGACACAGAUACGAGUAACUGUUAGCAGUAAAAUGACAGGUUCUGUCUUUGAGAAAGUCUUAUCAAAGCAUAUUGCCGCGGCACAACCACUUCCAGGAUUUCGGCGAUUGAAAGGAGGGAAAACUCCAAAUGUACCAAAAGAAGUCGCUCUGCACUUGAUUGGACCAUCAAAAGUGAAGAAAGCAGCCAUCAAGAAAAUCAUCAAUCGCGCAGUAGCUGAAUAUGUUGAAAAGGAGAACCUUGACGCGUCGAAGAACCUGAAGGUUCUGCAAAGCUACGAGGAGCUCGAGGCCACGUUCGAACCUGGAAAAGAGUUCUGCUUCGACACGGCUGUCCAUCUAACAGGAAGCUGA
rnacentral:rRNA from 1 species